rnacentral:rRNA from 1 species
ACCCCAGACUCCUACGGGAGGCAGCAGUGGGGAAUAUUGCACAAUGGGGGAAACCCUGAUGCAGCGACGCCGCGUGAGUGAAGAAGUAUUUCGGUAUGUAAAGCUCUAUCAGCAGGGAAGAAGAAAGACGGUACCUGACUAAGAAGCCCCGGCUAACUACGUGCCAGCAGCCGCGGUAAUACGUAGGGGGCAAGCGUUAUCCGGAUUUACUGGGUGUAAAGGGAGCGUAGACGGCAGUGCAAGUCCGGAGUGAAAGCCCGGGGCUCAACCCUGGGACUGCUCUGGAAACUGUAAAGCUGGAGUGCGGGAGGGGCAGGCGGAAUUCCUGGUGUAGCGGUGAAAUGCGUAGAUAUUAGGAGGAACACCAGUGGCGAAGGCGGCUUGCUGGACAGUAACUGACGUUGAGGCUCGAAAGCGUGGGGAGCAAACAGGAUUAGAUACCCCUGUA